GGAGGAAAGUAGGGGAUCGUAAGACCUUGUGCUUUUGGAGUGGCCGAUGCCUGAUUAGCUAGUUGGUGGGGUAAAGGCCUACCAAGGCGACGAUCAGUAGUUGGUCUGAGAGGACGACCAGCCACACUGGGACUGAGACACGGCCCAGACUCCUACGGGAGGCAGCAGUGGGGAAUUUUGGACAAUGGGCGAAAGCCUGAUCCAGCAAUGCCGCGUGAGUGAAGAAGGCCUUCGGGUUGUAAAGCUCUUUCAGUCGAGAAGAAAAGGUUGCGACGAAUAAUCGUAACUCAUGACGGUAUCGACAGAAGAAGCACCGGCUAACUACGUGCCAGCAGCCGCGGUAAUACGUAGGGUGCGAGCGUUAAUCGGAAUUACUGGGCGUAAAGGGUGCGCAGGCGGUUUUGUAAGUCAGAUGUGAAAUCCCCGGGCUUAACCUGGGAACUGCGUUUGAAACUACAAAGCUAG
rnacentral:rRNA from 1 species